GUAGGGGGCGAGCGUUAUCCGGAAUCAUCGGGCGUAAAGCGCGCGCAGGCGGGCUUUCAAGCGGGGCGUCGAAGCCGGGGGCUCAACCCCCGGAAGCGCCCCGAACUGGAAGCCUCGGAUGCGGCAGGGGGAGGCGGAAUUCCCGGUGUAGCGGUGAAAUGCGCAGAUAUCGGGAAGAACACCGACGGCGAAGGCAGCCUCCUGGGCCGGCAUCGACGCUGAGGCGCGAAAGCUGGGGGAGCGAACAGGAUUAGAUACCCUGGUAGUCCCAGCCGUAAACGAUGGACGCUAGGUGUGGGGGGAACGAUCCCUCCGUGCCGAAGCCAACGCAUUAAGCGUCCCGCCUGGGGAGU
rnacentral:rRNA from 1 species